rnacentral:rRNA from 1 species
GUGGGGAAUUUUGGACAAUGGGCGAAAGCCUGAUCCAGCAAUGCCGCGUGCAGGAUGAAGGCCUUCGGGUUGUAAACUGCUUUUGUACGGAACGAAAAGCUUCGGGUUAAUACCCUGGAGCCAUGACGGUACCGUAAGAAUAAGCACCGGCUAACUACGUGCCAGCAGCCGCGGUAAUACGUAGGGUGCAAGCGUUAAUCGGAAUUACUGGGCGUAAAGCGUGCGCAGGCGGUUUUGUAAGACAGAGGUGAAAUCCCCGGGCUCAACCUGGGAACUGCCUUUGUGACUGCAAGGCUAGAGUACGGCAGAGGGGGAUGGAAUUCCGCGUGUAGCAGUGAAAUGCGUAGAUAUGCGGAGGAACACCGAUGGCGAAGGCAAUCCCCUGGGCCUGUACUGACGCUCAUGCACGAAAGCGUGGGGAGCAAACAGGAUUAGAAACCCGGGUAGUCC